rnacentral:rRNA from 1 species
AUUGAACGCUGGCGGCAUGCUUUACACAUGCAAGUCGAACGGCAGCACGGGUGCUUGCACCUGGUGGCGAGUGGCGAACGGGUGAGUAAUGCAUCGGAACGUAUCCAAUAAUGGGGGAUAACGCAUCGAAAGGUGUGCUAAUACCGCAUACGCCCUGAGGGGGAAAGUGGGGGACCGUAAGGCCUCACGUUAAUGGAGCGGCCGAUGCCUGAUUAGCUAGUUGGUGAGGUAAAGGCUCACCAAGGCGACGAUCAGUAGCUGGUCUGAGAGGAUGAUCAGCCACACUGGGACUGAGACACGGCCCAGACUCCUACGGGAGGCAGCAGUGGGGAAUUUUGGACAAUGGGGGCAACCCUGAUCCAGCCAUGCCGCGUGAGUGAAGAAGGCCUUCGGGUUGUAAAGCUCUUUCGCAAGGGAAGAAAACUUAGCCAUUAAUACUGGCUGAGGAUGACGGUACCUUGAUAAGAAGCACCGGCUAACUACAUGCCAGCCGCCGCCGUAA